rnacentral:rRNA from 1 species
UACGCAGGGGGCUAGCGUUGUUCGGAAUUACUGGGCGUAAAGGGCGCGUAGGCGGUACUUCAAGUCAGGCGUGAAAGCCCCGGGCUCAACCUGGGAACCGCGCUUGAGACUGGAGAACUAGAGUUCGGGAGAGGAUGGUGGAAUUCCCAGUGUAGAGGUGAAAUUCGUAGAUAUUGGGAAGAACACCGAUGGCGAAGGCAGCCAUCUGGACCGACACUGACGCUGAGGUGCGAAAGCGUGGGGAGCAAACAGG